GAGGCAUCACCAUUCAAUUGUAGCGAGUGAACCUGGUCAGGUCUUGACUGAAGCAGCCAUAAGCUUUGUUAUGAUGUGAGUGGUGAUGCUUGAUA
rnacentral:SRP_RNA from 2 species